CCUGAUGGUGAUGCCACCCUGCGCGUGUCUUAUUUCAGAUGCUAAGUGGGGCUGGGACUAGUUAGUACUUAGAUGGGAGUCCUCUGGGAAUACCAGAUGCUGUAAGCU
rnacentral:rRNA from 1 species